AGGCACUGUGCUAAGCUCUUGAGAUACAAAAAGAGGCAAAAGAGAGUCCCAGCCCUCAAGAAGCUUACAAUCUAAAAGGAGAGACAAUAAAAAAUAAGUUAUAUAUAGGAUGUGCUAGUGCUCAUCCUUCAUUUUCAAAGAGGUCCAAUGACAUCACAGGGUGCUUUCUUGAGUUGUGUGUGAGUUGGAUUUAAAUGAAGCAGAGUUGCACACAGUCAUGGGCCUCCCUCAUUUUCUCUUCCAGAAUCAUCAAAGUCCACUGGCAAGACAAAAGUCAGGACGACUGGUGAUGGUCCAGGAUGUGGUGGAUGGCUUCUUUGAUGUAUGACCAGAUUCUAAUAGCUGCAUGGCUCCUGAUUUGGCCACCUUCCUGGUGUUGAAUCACAUUGUUCUCAGCCACCCAUUCUGUCAGGGUAAGUCUUCACAUGCUUGGAGUAGACAUCCCCUAACUCACUGAUGGGUUUGAGGUCUGUUGGUUACCUCCAACCUGGUUUAGCUCAUCUGCUGAAAACAGUUCUACAGAGGUGUGUCUGCUAUGAGUGCUAUAGUUUUUUGGAGCCACAGGGGAGAAUUGAGUAAAAGGUGGACACCACAGUUAUAUAAACAGCCCUGACGAAAGGGCUCAGCAAGUCCUUACAAAGAAGAUCCUAGCCUUUCCUGAAAACAUUUCUAUAGAAUAAACAGGUAAUAAUUAAAAGAGUGAAAGUCCUGGAAUUAAGGGCAGUUAGGGAAACCUUCUUGUAGAAGGCAGAACUUUAGUUGGGACUUAAAGGAAACCAUAGAGAUCAGCAGAUAGAACAUUCUAGGUAUGGGGGACAACCAGAGAAAAGACCUGGAGCAGAGAAAUGGAGUGUCUUGCUCUUGGAGCAAGAAAGAAGCCAAUGUCACUGGAUCAAGGAGUACCUGCUGGGAGUAUGAUGCUAAGGGUGCUGGGAAUAGAAGAACAAAGAAUGAGACAACUCUUACUGGCAAAGAACAAGCAUCUAAUCAUGAGCACGACGUGUCUACAUGUCUGAAUAAUACCCAGCGCUUACCUAGGCAGGGAACAAAGACAAGGAAUCCUGAUGGGAGGAAGAAUGUGACCACAGGAAAGGAGAGACUCUCCUCUCCACUCCUCUGUUUAGGGAUCCAGCUCCCGCAGCAUCAGCCAUAUAAGGCCUCUCUUGCUCCCACUGCCCAUGCCCCAGCCUUGUUAGUGUUAUUUCCCUCUCAACAUCGAUUAAAAACAUUUUCUGAUGUUUUGCUUUUGUAUCAUGAACCUGUUCCUCUUACAACAAAGAAAAGUGAUUCAGCGGACAGUUCACGCAUCAUUUCAUAUGCGUAUCAUUCCACCCC
rnacentral:lncRNA from 1 species